rnacentral:lncRNA from 13 species
UGACUGCAUCUACACUUCAGGUGAUAUAGUGAAAUUAAACAUCACAAAAAAUAAAUAAAACAAAGAAUGACGAUUACUAUUUUUUAAAUCACUAUCAUCAUGGAAAUAUUUGUUACUAAACAAAAUCAAUAGCCUCACAUACCAAACCUACAAGUCAUAAGUCAUGUAACACCAAUUCAGACUGUACAAAACUGAACAAAGACCUGGUGAAGGACACAAGCCCUUUUCUCACAGGGGAAGUAUAAUUAAUACGGUCAGUUGCUGCUGGAAAAUAACACCAGGGAAUGUUUUCAGUAAGUGUCCUGGAUGUGUCAUAAUGUGACAAGUGGAGGAUACCGCUGUGUGGAACACACCCACCGUUAUGGCUACAAUGGUUUUUACAUAGAGAGAUGAUCCAUUAUACAAGGAGCCAGCGUAGUUUAGGAAGGAAGAUGUCCACAACAUUAGAAGACUGGUUCACAUGCCUGUGAAAGGUAGACUUCCUGUUCCUGAUCAGCUAGUCACCAGCAGUAGGUCUGUAGUUCUGGCUUCAGGAAACUAGACUUCCUGUUCCUGAUCAGCUCGUCACCAGCAGUAGGUCUGUAGUUCUGGCUUCAGGAAACUAGACUUCCUGUUCCUGAUCAGCUAGUCACCAGCAGGAGGAGGUCUGUAGUUCUGGCUUCAGGAAACUAGACUUCCUGUUCCUGAUCAGCUCGUCACCAGCAGUAGGAGGUCUGUAGUUCUGUCUUCAGGAAACCAGACUUCCUGUUCCUGAUCAGCUCGUCACCAGCAGUAGGAGGUCUGUAGUUCUGGCUUCAGGGCAGCAGCGGUGUGGGCCGAAGCCUUGUGGGUGGAAUCCAGUCCACAUCUGACUUGGGCUCCAGCCAGCCAGGCAGAGAGCUGUGGUAUACUGCUCAGAGAGGGAGACAGGUAGGCAGAGAGCUGUGGUAUACUGCUCAGAGAGGGAGACAGACAGGUAGACAGAGAGCUGUGGUAUACUGCUCAGAGAGGGAGACAGAGCUGUGGUAUACUGCUCAGAGAGGGAGACAGGUAGUCAGUCAGAGAGUGGGCAAGAGAUGCCAGUGCCAAUACUCCUGUCCUCACCAUGACUAGGCCAGUAAGUGGACUGUUGUGGGAACAGUUCUACUAACCCACACAAUGACGUCAUAGCUUCAUGUUCCAAUGUUUGACUGUGACAGGUCCAACAUAUUGUAUCCUCUUUAAAUACAGCAACAAUACCUUAUCCUCUGGUCAUAUAAACAUGCGCUACAAUAACGAUAUACAACCAUCUGCAUAAACAUAUUUGGAUAGAAAACGUUGUACCCUAUACCAGGGGUAUACAACUCUUACCCUAUGAGGUCCAGAGACAGCUGGUUUUCUGUUCCACCUGAUAAUUAAAUUGUACCCACUUGGUGUCCCAGGUCGAAGUCAGUCCCUGAUUAGAGGGGAACAAUGUAAUCCCAGGUCUAAGUCAGUCCCUGAUUAGAGGGGAACAAUGUAAAUAAUGUAGUGGAACUGGCUUCAAGGUCCUGAGCUAAGUUUGAGGGCUGUAUACAAUAGCAUUAUGUAAGGUAGGAAACCCAUGGGGGCAAACUAAUUGUUUUCCAUAGCACCGUCCGUGGGUGAUGUUGUUCAGAGUGGGUAAUUGGUGUUAGCUCAUUGUUCAUUCCAAGUAUUCUGUUUAGUGUAGUUCUGGCUGUAAACAAUGCAGUGGCUCUCUCUCACCUGGAUAAAACGUCUCACACACAUCACAGCCCAAUCCCACAUUGACCCCUAGAGUGGAGCAAUAUGGUAAUAGCUACAACUUGCCCUCUGAUAGGCUAGCUCAGGGGUAGGCAACCCUGUUCCUGGGCCAAUGUGCCCUCUGAUAGGCUAGCCAGGGGGUAGGCAACCCUGUUCCUGGACCAAUGUGCCCUCUGAUAGGCUAGCUCAGGGGUAGGCAGCCCUGUUCCUGGACCAAUGUGCCCUCUGAUAGGCUAGCUCAGGGGUAGGCAACCCUGUUCCUGGACCAAUGUGCCCUCUGAUAGGCUAGCCCAGGNNNNNNNNNNAGACACUGGGAGAGGAAUUCACUUUUCAGCCGGACAAUAACCUGAAACACAAGGCCAAAUCUACAGUGGAAUAUUUUACCAAGAAGACAGUGAAUGUUCCUGAUUGGCCAAGUUACAAUCUGCUUGAAAAUCUAUGGAAUGACUUAACACAUUGAAAAAAAAGAAUGGGCAAAUGUUGCACAAUUCAGGUGUGGAGAGCUUUAAUGAGACUUACCCAGAAAGCCUCACAGCUGUAGCCGCUGCCAAUGGUGCUUCUACAAAGUAUUGACUCAGCAGUGUGAAUAUUUAUGUAAAUUAGAUAUUUCUGUAUUUCAUUUUCAAUACAUUUACUAAAUGUUCUACAAAUAUGUUUUCACUUUAUGUUGUACUGUGUGUAGAUGGCGUUUAAUUAUUUAUUUGAUCUAAUCAAGAUGUUUUAUUUUUCAUUCAUCUUUAACAUUGUGUGUGUUUUGUGUAG